rnacentral:rRNA from 1 species
CGCUAUCACUCCUACGGGGAGGCAGCAGUAGGGAAUCUUCCACAAUGGGCGCAAGCCUGAUGGAGCAACACCGCGUGAGUGAAGAAGGGUUUCGGCUCGUAAAGCUCUGUUGUUAAAGAAGAACACGUAUGAGAGUAACUGUUCAUACGUUGACGGUAUUUAACCAGAAAGUCACGGCUAACUACGUGCCAGCAGCCGCGGUAAUACGUAGGUGGCAAGCGUUAUCUGGAUUUAUUGGGCGUAAAGAGAGUGCAGGCGGUUUUCUAAGUCUGAUGUGAAAGCCUUCGGCUUAACCGGAGAAGUGCAUCGGAAACUGGAUAACUUGAGUGCAGAAGAGGGUAGUGGAACUCCAUGUGUAGCGGUGGAAUGCGUAGAUAUAUGGAAGAACACCAGUGGCGAAGGCGGCUACCUGGUCUGCAACUGACGCUGAGACUCGAAAGCAUGGGUAGCGAACAGGAUUAGAUACCCUGGUAG